rnacentral:rRNA from 1 species
AAUAUUGGACAAUGGGCGAAAGCCUGACGCAGCCAUGCCGCGUGAAUGAUGAAGGUCUUAGGAUUGUAAAAUUCUUUCACCGGGGAAGAUGAUGACGGUACCCGUAGAAGAAGCCCCGGCUAACUCCGUGCCAGCAGCCGCGGUAAUACGGAGGGGGCUAGCGUUGUUCGGAAUUACUGGGCGUAAAGGGCGCGUAGGCGGACCAUCAAGUCAGGGGUGAAAGGCCUGGGCUCAACCCGGGAACUGCCUUUGAAACUGAAGGUCUAGAGUCCGAGAGAGGAUAGCGGAAUUCCCAGUGUAGAGGUGAAAUUCGUAGAUAUUGGGAAGAACACCAGUGGCGAAGGCGGCUAUCUGGCUCGGAACUGACGCUGAGGCGCGAAAGCGUGGGGAGCAAAC